rfam:Solibacillus silvestris StLB046 DNA, complete genome.
AGGACAGUAUCUUAAUAGAACUGUACCUGCCACUGCUAGUCAACAUUUAAAAAAUCUGCUUUGAUCUACACAAGACAGAGACGGAAGA